CAUCGACCCAAUCCAGUCGCCAACUCGCCAUCGUCUCUCCUCGUCCACCUGCACAAAAAAGAAAGACGGCCGAGCCGCUGCCUCCGGCGAGGCGGCGACGCCGACGCUACUCCUGCAGCGGCGACACACUACCGAGGACACCUUCUUCUCCCAGGGGCGGGUGAACUCGACAGAUAUGGCGGUUGACAAGUGGGUGACAGUGGUGGAGCACUCAAAGGAGAUGGUGGGCGAGAAGGCGGCGGCGGCGGCUCGAGCGGCCCAUGAGUCGAAGGAGUACAGGAGGUCGCUCGUGGACAUCGGCCUCACUCUGUUGAUCGGCGUCGUAUUCAUGCUCCUGAGUUUCCUCGUGCCGGAGAUAUCCAAGGUGUGGCAGAUUCUGUGUUGGCAGACCACGAUGAUCUCUUUCGCAUGUGCCGUGUUCUUCACCUGGAUCCAUCUGAGGGAUUUCCAUCCCAAGGUGGAGUCAUCUCGGGUUUGAAGAACUGGGAGUGGAGGAGACAAAGGUUGCUGGAAAAUGUUGAACUGAAGCCUUGUCACACAAACGUAUUUGGUUGAUGGACCUUAUUCUGGAAAUGUACAGAAGAAAAAUGAUUCAAAUUUCUUCUUCAGCUGAACAAUCCAUUCAAGAAUCAGUUAGACGUACCGUGAUUAUUCUCCACAAGAGUACUGCAAUGAUAUUGUUGGUGGUGUUCUAAAUUGACCUCUUUUUCUAUUGAAGGAUGGUUCAGCUGCUUUAUUUAUAAGUAAAACUAUAGCAUUAUUUGAUUCAAUGAUGCAGAUUUGUUGUC